UACGUAGGGGGCAAGCGUUGUCCGGAUUUAUUGGGCGUAAAGAGCGUGUAGGCGGCUUGGUAGGUCCGCUGUGAAAACUCGAGGCUCAACCUCGGGCCUGCAGUGGGUACGGGCAGACUAGAGUGCGGUAGGGGAGAUUGGAAUUCCUGGUGUAGCGGUGGAAUGCGCAGAUAUCAGGAGGAACACCAAUGGCGAAGGCAGAUCUCUGGGCCGUAACUGACGCCGUAGGAGGCGAAAGCAUGGGAAGCGA
rnacentral:rRNA from 1 species